GGGGGCGCGGCGGGGGAGGGCCGGCGGCACCUGCCGGGCCCCGCGGCGGAGGAGCUGCCCAGCCCCGUGCCCGCGCCCUCCUUCCCUCCGCCCGCCCCGCGCUCAUGCGCCCGCCGGAGGUUUAAAGCGGGAGCGGUGGCUGCCGUGCGCUGUUCGGCUCGGCGGAGGUGCGGGGCACGGCACGGCACGGCACGGCGACCCGGCCGGCACGCCGCUCUCCGCCGCUCUCCUGCGCUCAGCUCUGCGCUGCCCCCGGCGCGGGCGCGGCCCGGCUCCGCCAUGUGGCUCUCGGCCCUGCUCCUCGGCGCCUUCCUGCUCUCCGGCCCGGUGCGCGGCAGCGACGGCUCGGCUUCUACAGCUAUCACGUGCUUUACAAGAGGACUUGACCUUAGAAAGGGGACAGAAGAUGUCCUUUGCCCAGCAAACUGUCCUCUGUGGCAAUUUUAUGUCUUUGGGGAUGGAGUUUAUGCCUCUCUUUCGAGUGUCUGUGGAGCUGCCAUACACAGUGGGGUGAUUACCAACAGAGGAGGAGCUGUAAGGGUACAGACUCUCCCAGGACAGGAAAACUACCCUGCUGUAAAUGCUAAUGGGAUCCAGUCUCAGGUGCUCUCUAGAUGGGCUUCAUCUUUCUCAGUGACUGCAGGUACCAAGAGCACAGCCCUUGAAGCAGUGGGACGAUCGGUGUCCACAGCCCGUCCUUCUACAGGUAAAAGACCUAAGAAGACUCUUGAUAAAAAGGCUGGGAACAAAGACUGUAAAGCUGAUAUUGCCUUUCUCAUUGAUGGAAGCUACAACAUUGGCCAACGUAGGUUUAACUUGCAGAAAAACUUUGUUGGAAAAGUAGCUGUAAUGUUGGGAAUUGGAACAGAAGGGCCUCAUGUUGGGGUCGUACAGGCCAGUGAACAUCCAAAAAUUGAAUUCUACCUGAAAAACUUUACUGCUACAAAAGAAGUUUUGUUUGCCAUAAAGGAAUUAGGCUUCAGAGGAGGCAAUUCCAAUACAGGCAAAGCUUUGAAGUACACAGCUCAGAAAUUCUUCUCUUUGGAAAAUGGAGCACGGAAGGGAAUUCCCAAGAUCAUUGUAGUGUUCCUGGAUGGCUGGCCCUCAGAUGAUCUAGAAGAAGCUGGCAUAGUGGCCAGAGAAUUUGGAGUCAACGUGUUCAUUGUGUCUGUAGCAAAACCCACAACAGAGGAGCUGGGAAUGGUACAAGACAUUGGCUUUGUGGACAAAGCAGUCUGCCGAAACAAUGGCUUCUUCUCUUACCAAAUGCCCACCUGGUUUGGUACUACCAAAUAUGUCAAACCUCUUGUCCAAAAGCUGUGCUCACACGAGCAGAUGCUGUGUAGCAAGACUUGCUACAACUCCGUCAACAUCGGUUUCCUGAUAGACGGUUCCAGCAGCAUCGGAGAGAGCAACUUCCGCCUCGUGCUUGAGUUCGUGAGCAACGUGGCCAAAGCUUUUGAGAUCUCUGACAUCGGCUCCAAGGUGGCGGCCGUGCAGUUCACCUACGACCAGAGGACCGAGUUCGGCUUCACCGACUUUGUCACCAAGGACAAGGUCCUGUCGGCCAUCCGCAGCAUCCAGUACAUGAGCGGGGGCACCGCCACCGGCGAUGCCAUCACUUUCACCACCAGGAACGUGUUUGGGCCAGUGAAAGAUGGACCUAACAAGAAUUUCCUCAUUGUUCUGACCGAUGGUCAGUCGUAUGAUGAUGUUAGAGGACCUGCUGCAGCUGCACAAAAAGCAGGAAUAACAGUCUUCUCUGUUGGUGUUGCCUGGGCACCUUUGGAUGAUCUGAAAGACAUGGCUUCUGAACCAAGAGAAUCUCAUACUUUCUUCACCAGGGAGUUCACAGGAUUGGAGCAGAUGGUUCCUGAUAUUAUUAGAGGCAUCUGUAAAGACUUUUUGGACUCUAAACAAUAAAAAAAUCUGCAGUUUACUAUUACUAUUUGAAACUAAAAAUCAUGAAAUUGAAAUGGUCCCUCUAAAGUACAGAUGUUUUAUUCUUAUAUAUGCUAUCACAAUACAGAAGAAGAAGAAGGGCUACUUUUUGUUUCUGUAAUCAGUCAAAGAUUUUUGUGGGUUUGUUAGAAGUUGUACUUGAUCCUGAAGUGCAGAAUUUGGCCAACAGUUAAUAUUUUCAACAAGCAUACAGCAUCCUGAAGUUCAAAGCUUUGCAUAUAGUGCACUUAAGAAUAGCAGAUACUCAGAGGAAAUAAUACAGCUCUGACAUUUUUUCUGGCACUUGCUAAAUACCUUCUUUGGAAGUAAAAAAAUAUCUUUAAAUAUAAGGUACUACCUUCUAUAAGUUUUCUGUAGCUUACAGUUCUGUAUCUUUGGAAAGAGUUCUGCUGAUAACACAAAGUACUUUCAGUGCUUCUGUUGUGCAACAUCCAUUAUCGCCAGGCAGCUUACAAAAAGAUAUGACAGAUGGUAGCUGAAAGAUAGUUGGGGGUUUGUUGGAUCUGGUUGGCAAAUUUUAUAUCAGAAGUCAUUUAACUUCUACCCACAGAUUUCUGUGGAUCUAUUUGGUUGGUUCUUCUGGCACAGAAUUUUAAAGGUAUUUAAGGCACAGUAGCUCUUUGAGAAUCUGGAUCCUAAUAUAUUAGCUACUACUACUGCUUUCUGCACCACUGAAGUCAACAGUGAUAUUCCAAAUAAAACUGACAACCGGAUAUUUCCUGUCUGCUGC
ensembl:lncRNA